AUUGAACGCUGGCGGCAGGCCUAACACAUGCAAGUCGAGCGGAUGAAGAGAGCUUGCUCUCUGAUUUAGCGGCGGACGGGUGAGUAAUGCCUAGGAAUCUGCCUGGUAGUGGGGGAUAACGUUCCGAAAGGAACGCUAAUACCGCAUACGUCCUACGGGAGAAAGCAGGGGACCUUCGGGCCUUGCGCUAUCAGAUGAGCCUAGGUCGGAUUAGCUAGUUGGUGAGGUAAUGGCUCACCAAGGCUACGAUCCGUAACUGGUCUGAGAGGAUGAUCAGUCACACUGGAACUGAGACACGGUCCAGACUCCUACGGGAGGCAGCAGUGGGGAAUAUUGGACAAUGGGCGAAAGCCUGAUCCAGCCAUGCCGCGUGUGUGAAGAAGGUCUUCGGAUUGUAAAGCACUUUAAGUUGGGAGGAAGGGCAGUAAGUUAAUACCUUGCUGUUUUGACGUUACCGACAGAAUAAGCACCGGCUAACUUCGUGCCAGCCGCCGCAGUAAUAC
rnacentral:rRNA from 1 species